GCAUCGUUCAGGAGGUCUGCCUCACCGAAGAACUCACCGUCGCCCAACAAGGCGAUACGCAGCUCUUCGCCAUGAGGACCUUUGUUGAUGACCUCAGCCUGACCACUGGCUACAAUGAAGAACUUUUGCUUGUCCUUGCCUUCUUUGACGAAAAGGUUACCCAGGGAUACCUCGACGGUUUCGAAGGAACUUGCCAGACGAGUCACAAUCUCAUCAUCGAAAGCAGAGAACAGAGGAAUCUGCUUCAGACUCUUAGCGGUAAAUGAGGGAACCCCAUUCAGAUACUCGAUAUUCAGACGCUCGGUCUUCUUCAGUUCUACCUUGGUACGGUUGACGCGGAAGGUACCGCCACUGACCUGAACCCAAGGAAGGAGUUUCAGGAGAAGACGAGGAGUGAUACUACCCAUCUGAGGGGCAGUCUUGGUGGUGGUCGCCAGUUUUCUGGCUGUGACA
rnacentral:antisense_RNA from 1 species